rnacentral:rRNA from 1 species
AGAACGAACGCUGGCGGCGCGUCUUAAACAUGCAAGUCGAACGAUCUGUAGCAAUACAGGGAGUGGCGGACGGGUGAGGAACACGUAGGAAUCUACCUUGAAGAGCGGGACAACUUUGGAAACCGGGGCUAAUACCGCAUAGUACAGAGAUGUUAAAGGGCUAGCAAUAGUCGCUUCGAGAUGAGCCUGCGGUCUAUCAGCUUGUUGGUGAGGUAAUGGCUCACCAAGGCUACGACGGAUAGCCGGUCUGAGAGGAUGAUCGGCCACACUGGCACUGAGACACGGGCCAGACUCCUACGGGAGGCAGCAGUUAAGAAUCUUGCGCAAUGGGGGAAACCCUGACGCAGCGACGCCGCGUGAAGGAUGAAGGCUUUCGGGUUGUAAACUUCGGUAGACUGGGAAGAAGAAAUACGUUCGUUGAGGGCGUAUAGUGACGGUACCAGUCUGAAGCCCCGGCUAAUUACGUG